CCUACGGGUGGCAGCAGUGGGGGAUAUUGCACAAUGGGGGAAACCCUGAUGCAGCAACGCCGCGUGAGUGAUGAAGGGCUUCGGCUCGUAAAGCUCUGUCUUCAGGGACGAAAAUGACGGUACCUGAAGAGGAAGCCACGGCUAACUACGUGCCAGCAGCCGCGGUAAUACGUAGGGGGCGAGCGUUGUCCGGAUUUACUGGGCGUAAAGGGGGCGGAGGCGGCAUUUUAAGUGAGAUGUGAAAGCCUCGGGCUCAACCCGAGUACUGCAUUUCGAACUGGGAGGCUAGAGUGCAGGAGAGGAGAAUGGAAUUCCUAGUGUAGCGGUGAAAUGCGUAGAGAUUAGGAAGAACACCAGUGGCGAAGGCGGCUUUCUGGACUGUAACUGACGCUGAGGCUCGAAAGCGUGGGGAGCAAACAGGAUUAGAUACCCGUGUAGUC
rnacentral:rRNA from 1 species